rnacentral:rRNA from 1 species
AUUGAACGCUGGCGGCAUGCCUUACACAUGCAAGUCGAACGGCAGCACGGGAGCAAUCCUGGUGGCGAGUGGCGAACGGGUGAGUAAUAUAUCGGAACGUGCCCAGUCGUGGGGGAUAACGCAGCGAAAGCUGUGCUACUACCGCAUACGAUCUCUGGAUGAAAGCGGGGGACCGUACGGCCUCGCGCGAUUGGAGCGGCUGAUAUCAGAUUAGCUAGUUGGUGGGGUAAAGGCCCACCAAGGCGACGAUCUGUAGCUGGUCUGAGAGGACGACCAGCCACACUGGAACUGAGACACGGUCCAGACUCCUACGGGAGGCAGCGGUGGGGAAUUUUGGACAAUGGGCGCAAGCCUGAUCCAGCAAUGCCGCGUGCAGGAUGAAGGCCUUCGGGUUGUAAACUGAUUUUGUACGGAACGAAACGGCGAGCUCUAAUAAAGUUUGCUAAUGACGGUACCGUAAGAAUAAGCACCGGCUAACUACGUGCCAGCCGCCGCCGUAA